UUAUUCACUGGACUGGAACGCUUGCAUUUCUAUAGAAAAUGGAAAAAGGGGGGUGUCGGAAACCUUUUGACUGAGCUUGGAUGCUGCAGACUACCACAGGUACUGGGUCUAAAAGGAGUUCAUAUAUCUGGGGUGGUGGAAACUACGGAUGCAUCUACCUGUGAAAGACCUCUGCUCAUAUCAUCCAGUCAUGAAGGAUAACUGAGUUUUGGGCUGGUAACUGAGAUGUCGCUUUUUCAAAUUUCCCAGAUGAAAGUUCUUAGUUUACCCUUGAGCAAAGCCUAACCUUUACUGCCCCUGUUGGUCUCUCUGUCUCAGAGUACCUGCUAACUGACCAAAAUGUAAAAAUGUGUGGAGGGAGAGGUGAUUGGAAGAUGUAUGACAGCUAGCUGCUUGAGAAUAAUAUUGGUUAAAGCCCUGAAAUACCCAAUUUACAAUUCAAGGGCUAGACAUUUAUAACUCUUCAUUUGUGAUUGUUGAUUUCUUUCUUUGGCACUGUUAAUCUAAUUAGAUUAGGUGUGUAAGCAGUUGAGUAUUUCAAUUACAUGGAAUAACUGGGGGUUCUAGAGGAGUUUUGACAACCACUGCAAACAUCCACCCACCAUGUAAUCUCUAGUCCAGAAUCCAAACCAGUAAAUCUACAAUAUCUUGCCUCUGGUAGUAGCUACAUGGAGAUCUGUUAAGACUGAACAUUUUAAUUCUUGCUGAUUUUCUUUAAGUCCUAGACACAUGAGGGUGCAGAGGGAAACACUCUAGAUACCUUGAGGGAACAGAGGGUCAGACUAAUUUCAGGGCAUGUCCUCCUAAAUCAGUUUACUACUCCCAGUACCUCUAUAGUUCCAGCCAAUCACACGCAAUCUGAAAAACAACCCAUCAGUUUGGCACAAAGCUUCACUGGUUUCCAUAAUAGCUAAUAUUAGCCUGUUUUAUCCUCUCUAUGAAACAAUAACUAUUUUCCAGUCUGGAUGGAUGCUGUCCUGUGAUUGAAUACAGCUUUGACAUCUACAGACUCAGUCAUUAUCAUGGGCUUUAUGGUCUAUAUGUCUGUUUGACAUGCAUUUAAUGUGUUUCCAUAUUUAAUACAAUUACUUGAAUUAU